rnacentral:rRNA from 1 species
GGGCCCGCACAAGCGGUGGAGUAUGUGGUUUAAUUCGACGCAACGCGCAGAACCUUACCCGGCCUUGACAUCCUUGGAAUCCUUCCGAAAAAGAAGGAGUGUCCCCCUCACAGGGAAGCCAAGUGACAGGUGCUGCAUGGCUGUCGUCAGCUCGUGUCGUGAGAUGUUCGGUUAAGUCCGGCAACGAGCGCAACCCCUGUCGUUAGUUGCCAUCAAUUCGGUUGGGCACUUUAACGAGACUCCCGGUGUUAAGCCGGCGGAAGAUGGGGAUGACGUCAAGUCCUCAUGGCCCUUAUGGUCGGGGCUACACACGUACUACAAUGGCGACUACAGAGGGUAGCAAGACCGCAAGGUGGAG